rnacentral:rRNA from 1 species
CGCGGCCUAUCAGCUUGUUGGUGGGGUAGUGGCCUACCAAGGCGACGACGGGUAGCCGGCCUGAGAGGGUGACCGGCCACACUGGGACUGAGACACGGCCCAGACUCCUACGGGAGGCAGCAGUGGGGAAUAUUGCGCAAUGGGCGGAAGCCUGACGCAGCGACGCCGCGUGGGGGAUGACGGCCUUCGGGUUGUAAACCUCUUUCAGCAGGGACGAAGCGCAAGUGACGGUACCUGCAGAAGAAGCACCGGCCAACUACGUGCCAGCAGCCGCGGUAAUACGUAGGGUGCAAGCGUUGUCCGGAAUUAUUGGGCGUAAAGAGCUCGUAGGCGGUUUGUUGCGUCGGCUGUGAAAUCCCGAGGCUCAACCUCGGGUCUGCAGUCGAUACGAGCAAACUAGAGUGUUGCAGGGGAGACUGGAAUUCCUGGUGUAGCGGUGAAAUGCGCAGAUAUCAGGAGGAACACCGGUGGCGAAGGCGGGUCUCUGGGCAACAACUGACGCUGAGGAGCGAAAGCGUGGGGAGCGAACAGGAUUAGAUACCCUGGUAGUCCACGCCGUAAACGUUGGGCGCUAGGUGUGGGGCUCAUUCCACGAGUUCCGUGCCGCAGCUAACGCAUUAAGCGCCCCGCCUGGGGAGUACGG